rnacentral:tRNA from 1 species
GCAGUGAUGGCAGAGUGGUUAAGGCGUCUGACUAGAAAUCAGAUGGGAUCUUCCCGCGUAGGUUCGAAUCCUACUCACUGCG